GAUGAACGCUAGCUACAGGCUUAACACAUGCAAGUCGAGGGGCAUCAGGAAGAAAGCUUGCUUUCUUUGCUGGCGACCGGCGCACGGGUGAGUAACACGUAUCCAACCUGCCCUUUACUCGGGGAUAGCCUUUCGAAAGAAAGAUUAAUACCCGAUAGCAUAAUGAUUCCGCAUGGUUUCAUUAUUAAAGGAUUCCGGUAAAGGAUGGGGAUGCGUUCCAUUAGGUUGUUGGUGAGGUAACGGCCCACCAAGCCUUCGAUGGAUAGGGGUUCUGAGAGGAAGGUCCCCCACAUUGGAACUGAGACACGGUCCAAACUCCUACGGGAGGCAGCAGUGAGGAAUAUUGGUCAAUGGGCGCUAGCCUGAACCAGCCAAGUAGCGUGAAGGAUGAAGGCUCUAUGGGUCGUAAACUUCUUUUAUAUAAGAAUAAAGUGCAGUAUGUAUACUGUUUUGUAUGUAUUAUAUGAAUAAGGAUCGGCUAACUCCGUGCCAGCAGCCGCGGUAAUACGGAGGAUCCGAGCGUUAUCCGGAUUUAUUGGGUUUAAAGGGAGCGUAGGUGGACUGGUAAGUCAGUUGUGAAAGUUUGCGGCUCAACCGUAAAAUUGCAGUUGAUACUGUCAGUCUUGAGUACAGUAGAGGUGGGCGGAAUUCGUGGUGUAGCGGUGUAAUGCUUAGAUAUCACGAAGAACUCCGAUUGCGAAGGCAGCUCACUGGACUGCAACUGACACUGAUGCUCGAAAGUGUGGGUAUCAAACAGGAUUAGAUACCCUGGUAGUCCACACAGUAAACGAUGAAUACUCGCUGUUUGCGAUAUACAGUAAGCGGCCAAGCGAAAGCAUUAAGUAUUCCACCUGGGGAGUACGCCGGCAACGGUGAAACUCAAAGGAAUUGACGGGGGCCCGCACAAGCGGAGGAACAUGUGGUUUAAUUCGAUGAUACGCGAGGAACCUUACCCGGGCUUAAAUUGCAGUGGAAUGAUGUGGAAACAUGUCAGUGAGCAAUCACCGCUGUGAAGGUGCUGCAUGGUUGUCGUCAGCUCGUGCCGUGAGGUGUCGGCUUAAGUGCCAUAACGAGCGCAACCCUUAUCUUUAGUUACUAACAGGUUAUGCUGAGGACUCUAGAGAGACUGCCGUCGUAAGAUGUGAGGAAGGUGGGGAUGACGUCAAAUCAGCACGGCCCUUACGUCCGGGGCUACACACGUGUUACAAUGGGGGGUACAGAAGGCAGCUAGCGGGUGACCGUAUGCUAAUCCCAAAAUCCUCUCUCAGUUCGGAUCGAAGUCUGCAACCCGACUUCGUGAAGCUGGAUUCGCUAGUAAUCGCGCAUCAGCCACGGCGCGGUGAAUACGUUCCCGGGCCUUGUACACACCGCCCGUCAAGCCAUGGGAGCCGGGGGUACCUGAAGUACGUAACCGCAAGGAUCGUCCUAGGGUAAAACUGGUGACUGGGGC
rnacentral:rRNA from 1 species